rnacentral:lncRNA from 1 species
AAUUCCCCUCUCUGUGGCACCUAAACCUGAAUCCGCCACACUGGCUGGCCCCCUCCCUCUCUGCCCCAGGUGUUUCUUCGGCCCGCAGGGCCCAUUUCCAGGUAUGGCCGGGCUGCCCCGGCGGGGGAUGUGAGCAGCUGGUUUCUGCAGCCUCUCUGGCAUCUGGAAAUUCGGUGCAGCAGUUCCUGGCAGCCCCCUUGACCUGCUGAACGCACACGGAGCGCCUGCAGGCACGGACUAAAUCUCAACAGGACUAAGUUUCUUAUGAAAUGACUCAUAUUGCUGAAGGUGGGUGUUUUCUUUUUUUUUUUUUCUUUUCAACAAGUUUGGUGCCAGAACUGGUGCCUAUCUGACAAAAUAGUAGUUAAUGCACUAACUCAGGAAGCAAAGGGAUUUAAAUUCACCCCCUCCCCGCGUUUUAGGUAGUGUAUUUUUCAGAGGCCUGCUCUUUUAAAAGGCCAGACAGAGGCAGGUGGAGCUAUGGGCUGGUUACUCAGCACUUAGGUGCAGUUACAUUUUGCUGCUGCUUUUCAGCUGAGGACUAUUGCCAGCACCUGUUGGACUCUCACUUCAUGCAAUUCCUGCAAGCUGAGCCAUUGAAGCAGGUAGCUGAACUGUGAUCUUCACUGCCAUGAAGGGUAGAAGGACAUGAAGAUUUAGUCUGUUGAGAUGCUUUACUGUAUUUUCUUAUUUUACAGAAGGAUUAAAGGAUCACUUCCCCGUGACUGUGAAAUGUCCAGAUUCUCCAGGCAUGGUUGUUACCCAGCUUUCCAGUCUGAAAACCCUGCCCCUUCUGGACUUCCUUUUAGAAGCUUAGGUUUUGGUAAGUAGACCAUAAAAUUGAUGCUAAACUGAGUUCCACUUGUGGAUGAGGUUUUAACA